CCAACAGGGAUUGCCCCAGUAGCGGCGAGUGAAGCGGCAAAAGCUCAGAUUUGGAAUCGCUUCGGCGAGUUGUGAAUUGCAGGUUGGCGCCUCUGCGGCGGCGGCGGUCCAAGUCCCUUGGAACAGGGCGCCAUUGAGGGUGAGAGCCCCGUGGGACCGUUUGCCUAUGCUCUGAGGCCCUUCUGACGAGUCGAGUUGUUUGGGAAUGCAGCUCUAAGCGGGUGGUAAAUUCCAUUUAAGGCUAAAUACUGGCGAGAGACCGAUAGCGAACAAGUACUGUGAAGGAAAGAUGAAAAGCACUUUGAAAAGAGAGUGAAACAGCACGUGAAAUUGUUGAAAGGGAAGGGUAUUGCGCCCGACAUGGAGCGUGCGCACCGCUGCCCCUCGUGGGCGGCGCUCUGGGCGUGCUCUGGGCCAGCAUCGGUUUUUGCCGCGGGAGAAGGGCGGCGGG
rnacentral:rRNA from 1 species